AAGUUUUCAUGGAUGAAAUGGAAUGUCUCUGCAAACUGAGAGAGACAGAGGAGGCCAACUGCUAUUGUGAAAAGAUCUCUGGCUUGAGGAUCUAAACCCCUGCACAGCCGUAGCCAGGGCUGUGACCUUGAGAUAUCUGCACAUAAUCUUGGAAAGCACCUAGAAAAGGCCAUGUGAGAACAUAGUAUGCAGGUGGCCACCUGCAAUCCAGGAAGAAAUCUGCCACCAAGAACCGAAUUGGCAGGCACCUUGAUCUUGGACUUAUGGUCUCCAGAAUGGUGAGAAAGUAAAUUUCUGUUGUUUUAGUCACCUAGCCUGUGGUAUUUUGUAAUGAUAAUCUGAGCAGACUAAGAGAAUAAGUAAUCAUUUUAAGUUAGAGUACAUAUCACUUACCAGGGACCUUGGGGAAAUAUUGAGUCUUGAAGGUAAAGACAGUUGAAGACCUGGUGGAUGGGACAGGAAGGCACCUGAAUUUAAGGAUGACUUUCUUAAAUAGCUUAGUGAGCUUUGAUGGCUUCGUGGGAAAUGCCUAGAGUGUUUGUUGCUUCCCACAACAGGACAUAGUGGUCAUCUUGAACACACAGGAGAAAAUUUUAUGCCCCAGUUCAUCCUCCGCAGAAGAGGAUGCUUUCCUCACUACCAAGUUGAAACUCAGGGCGGCUUUUUUUUUUGCCUCUUGUUAAAUGUUCUCUUGCAACCAUGGGGCAAGUAAAGAUCUAAGAUGUCUGUUUUUUUGCAUGGAGUUGCAAUGACAGCUAGGAACAAUGGCAAGGCAAGAUGAAAGGUGGCCACUAGAAGAGCAGGGUGACUACCUGAAGGAAUCUAUUACUUUGCCUAAAAAAAUACUCUUGCUAGAUUAAGCUUUCUUGUGACUUCUAUACAGUGAUCCUAAUUGUGUUUCUUGGAUUCAGCAGAAAUACUCCCACCACUAUGACCAGCUAAUUUUGUGUGUGUGUGUGUGUGUGUGUGUGUGUGUGUGUGUGUGUGUGUACUUUUAGUAGAGACGGGGUUUUACCAUGUUGGACAGGCUGGCCUCGAACUCCUGAUCUCUUGAUUCGCCCGCCUUGGCCUCUCAAAGUGCUGGGAUUACAGGUGAGAUGGAGUUAUUUCUUUAUGUUAUUUACUCUGUCUACAGCCAGAAAACAUUGCAAAAUUUAAUCAAAUUGUCUAACUCAGUAGAUAUUAAAUGAAAUUAUGGCAGAAAUCUAUGUGAAGUAGGCUCCUUUUUAAUAAUUUUUUUUUAUCCUUUCCAUCAUUCCUAUUCUUAUCUAUCUAUUAGGACCCAGUUCAAAUCCAAGAUUGCUAUAGAUUCAUUUUUAAUUACACGAUUCAUGAGAUUUUUAUCUUUGUCUCUGCUUUCUUGCAUAGCUUUGAAUUUGUACUUCCUAUUCUAACAUUUUUUAAUACUGAGGAUGAUGUUUGCCUUUUCCAGCCAAGAAAUUCUGAACUGCACGC
rnacentral:lncRNA from 1 species